CCUACGGGUGGCAGCAGUGGGGAAUAUUGGACAAUGGGGGCAACCCUGAUCCAGCCAUGCCGCGUGUGUGAAGAAGGCCCUCGGGUUGCAAAGCACUUUCAGUGAGGAAGAACGCCUGGUGGUUAAUACCCAUCAGGAAAGACAUCACUCACAGAAGAAGCACCGGCUAACUCCGUGCCAGCAGCCGCGGUAAUACGGAGGGUGCGAGCGUUAAUCGGAAUUACUGGGCGUAAAGCGCGCGUAGGUGGCUUGAUAAGCCGGUUGUGAAAGCCCCGGGCUCAACCUGGGAACGGCAUCCGGAACUGUCAAGCUAGAGUGCAGGAGAGGAAGGUAGAAUUCCCGGUGUAGCGGUGAAAUGCGUAGAGAUCGGGAGGAAUACCAGUGGCGAAGGCGGCCUUCUGGACUGACACUGACACUGAGGUGCGAAAGCGUGGGUAGCAAACAGGAUUAGAUACCCCGGUAGUC
rnacentral:rRNA from 1 species